UCUAAGAAACAGAAGUGUGUCUGUAGAAC
rnacentral:piRNA from 1 species